GACGAACGCUGGCGGCGUGCCUAAUACAUGCAAGUCGACCUUAGUGGCGAACGGUUGAGUAACACGUGCGUAACCUGCCCAUCAGAAGGGGAUAACACUUGGAAACACGUGCUUAUCCCUACUACUGAAGGAGAGAGCCGCGGUGCAUUAGCUAGGGGGUGCGGAAACGGCUCACCAAGUCCACGAUGCAUAGCAGACCUGAGAGGGUGACCGGCCACAUUGGAACUGAGACACGGCCCAAACACAUACGGGAGGCAGCAGUAGGGAAUCUUGGGCAAUGGACGAAAGUCUGACCGAGCAACGCCGCGUGAGUGAAGAAGGUUUUCGGAUCGUAAAACUCUGUUGUUAGAGAGGCGUUAUCUAAACAGAAAGCCACGGCUAACUCCGUGCCAGCAGCCGCGGUAAUAC
rnacentral:rRNA from 1 species